CCAGCACUGCAUUGCCCAAGGCACCAGUAGCUUCUGCCUGCAUCCAAGUAGCUGCCUGCAGAACUCCAGCAGGACUCUGCAGAGGCUGUCUUCAGGGGACUAAGGAAACAAAACACCCAUAUGAUUCUUUAGGCUAAAUGGCCGAAUCAACCCUGCAGUGAUGUUUUCUGUGCAGGGCUGAGGUGAGGAUAUGAAUCAACUGAUGGUGGCAUCUGAAGAGCACUGUGGUCAGCAAAAGGUGAGUGGCAGUACAACAUAG